UACAGAGGUCUCAAGCGUUGUUCGGAUUCAUUGGGCGUAAAGGGUGCGUAGGUGGCGCCGUAAGUCGGGUGUGAAAUUUCGGAGCUUAACUCCGAAACUGCAUUCGAUACUGCGGUGCUUGAGGACUGGAGAGGAGACUAGGAAUUCAUGGUGUAGCAGUGAAAUGCGUAGAGAUCAUGAGGAAGACCAGUGGCGAAGGCGGGUCUCUGGACAGUUCCUGACACUGAGGCACGAAGGCCAGGGGAGCAAACGGG
rnacentral:rRNA from 1 species